UACGUAGGGGGCGAGCGUUGUCCGGAUUUAUUGGGCGUAAAGAGCGUGUAGGCGGCCAGGUAGGUCCGUUGUGAAAACUCGAGGCUCAACCUCGAGACGUCGAUGGAAACCAUCUGGCUAGAGUCCGGAAGAGGAGAGUGGAAUUUCUGGUGUAGCGGUGAAAUGCGCAGAUAUCAGGAAGAACACCCGUGGCGAAGGCGGUUCUCUGGGACGGUACUGACGCUGAGACGCGAAAGCGUGGGGAGCGAACAGG
rnacentral:rRNA from 1 species